AAGCCUGAUGCAGCGACGCCGCGUGAGGGAUGACGGCCUUCGGGUUGUAAACCUCUUUCAGCAGGGAAGAAGCGAAAGUGACGGUACCUGCAGAAGAAGCGCCGGCUAACUACGUGCCAGCAGCCGCGGUAAUACGUAGGGCGCGAGCGUUGUCCGGAAUUAUUGGGCGUAAAGAGCUCGUAGGCGGCUUGUCGCGUCGGUUGUGAAAGCCCGGGGCUUAACCCCGGGUCUGCAGUCGAUACGGGCAGGCUAGAGUUCGGUAGGGGAGAUCGGAAUUCCUGGUGUAGCGGUGAAAUGCGCAGAUAUCAGGAGGAACACCGGUGGCGAAGGCGGAUCUCUGGGCCGAUACUGACGCUGAGGAGCGAAAGCGUGGGGAGCGAACAGGAUUAGAUACCCUGGUAGUCCACGCCGUAAACGGUGGGCACUAGGUGUGGGCAACAUUCCACGUUGUCCGUGCCGCAGCUAACGUAUUAAGUGCCCCGCCUGGGGAGUACGGCCGCAAGGCUAAAACUCAAA
rnacentral:rRNA from 1 species